rnacentral:rRNA from 1 species
AUUGAACGCUGGCGGAAUGCUUUACACAUGCAAGUCGAACGGCAGCACGGGGGCAACCCUGGUGGCGAGUGGCGAACGGGUGAGUAAUACAUCGGAACGUGCCCAGUCGUGGGGGAUAACGUAGCGAAAGUUACGCUAAUACCGCAUACGAUCUACGGAUGAAAGCGGGGGACCGUAAGGCCUCGCGCGAUUGGAGCGGCCGAUGUCAGAUUAGGUAGUUGGUGAGGUAAAGGCUCACCAAGCCGACGAUCUGUAGCUGGUCUGAGAGGACGACCAGCCACACUGGGGCUGAGACACGGCCCAGACUCCUACGGGAGGCAGCAGUGGGGAAUUUUGGACAAUGGGCGCGAGCCUGAUCCAGCCAUUCCGCGUGCAGGACGAAGGCCUUCGGGUUGUAAACUGCUUUUGUACGGAACGAAAAGGCUCUGGUUAAUACCUGGGGCUCAUGACGGUACCGUAAGAAUAAGCACCGGCUAACUACGUGCCAGCCGCCGCAGUAA